GUUCCAGGCCCUGAUUUCCUGACCCUGGGGGACGACAACAUCCAUAGCCUGAACUUUGAGUCUGAGCCGAACCGGGACCUCCCUGACUAUGGGCCCGGGGACCUGCACACAGCCUACCAGCCAUCCCCGUCAUUCAGCACCUCUGAUGCCUUCUCAGCACUUUGUGCUCCCUGAGCCUCAAGGCCUCGAGCUGGCGGGGCGGGGACCACGUCGCUCUGCAGCCCCUGCGCUCCGAGGGUGAACCCCCCCAUGCCCCACUGUAGCAUCUUUGCCCCCAUGCACUGCCCAACGGCAACAGCAGCCUGUCCUAUGAUAGCGUGCUCAACCCUGACCCACCUGGUGGCCAUGCCUGCCCCGCCCAUCCAGCAGUUGGCGUGGCCAGAUACCACUGACCCUACCUGCACCCUAGGGCAACGGGUGGCCCACCACGGCCCCUGCCCCGCAGCUUCAGCCCCAUGCUGGGCCGCCGGCCCCCAGAGCCCUCACCUGUGUACUACAACAACCUGUCCAGGGCCAUCAUGGCAUCCAUCCAGGAGCACAAGGACAGGGAGGAGCAUGAGUGCCUGCUGCGCUCCCAGGCCAACUCACUCUUUGGCGACUUGGGCAUCUAUGAUGCGCCCAGCUUCUAUACCCUGCAGCAGGCCAGUGUGCCGUGCCAGGGCCCCCGAGGUUCCACACUGCGUUACGGCUCCAGAGAGGACCCUGUGGCUGGGCCUGGCUUCGGCGGUGCCCGCAACCCUGCCCUGCAGACAUCACUGUCCUUGCUGUCCAGCUCCGUGAGCCGUGCACCUCGGAUGUCGUCCUCCCUGCAGGCUGAUAAGGCCAGCAGCCAUGCCCUGGGGCCCUGGUUCAUCAGUGACUCACACAGGUCAGUCACACUCCAGGGCCUGCCCUCCCUGACAGGCACUCCUGACUCACCGUCCUACGCAGGCCCCAAAGCUGUCGCCUUCAUCCACACGGACCUCCCAGAGCCACCGCCCUCGCUGGCCGUGCAGAGGUGAACCCUCCGAGCCCAGAGGGCAGGGACUGCCCUGGGCCCCCACGACAUGGUUACACCAGUCCACGUCCGUGUCGUCGAUGUCCUGCUGCCUCCUCCGUCCUCUGUCCCGAUGCGUUCCUGUGUUCACCGUGUGCAUGCGUGUAUGUGCGUGUUUUGAUGCAGGGACCACCCUCAGGUGAAGACUCCCCCAGGUAAGCUUAAUGGGCAGUCCCCGGGCCUGGCCCGGCUGGGACCUACCACCGGCCCCCCAGGGCCCUCUGCCAGCCCUACACAGCACACGCGGAUUAAGAAGGUGUCCGGCGUGGGUGGGACCACGUACAAGAUCUCGGUGUGAGGACUGACCACCACCCAUCUGCUGUGGUGCCACGGGGACCAGGACCCCACAGUGCAUCCCCCUCCCCACCAUCUUCUCUGCCCCAGGAACACGAGGCCACCCUAGCCUGAUAUGGACCCAUCAGCGGGAGAGAGUGCCACGCCUCCACACCUUGCCCCAGGCGCCCUGCCUGCCCAUCCACUCAUCUGGCCAUGGGGAAGUUGGCUCACUGGGACAAGGGCCGCUGGGCUGGUCUGUGUCUGGGCCUGUCCCAUGGCUAGGGCAGUGAAGGGGGCCUAGUCAGCCUCUUUGGGGCACCCUCUCUCAGCCAGGCUUGGCCCACUCCCAUCACCCAUGCACCCCAGAUCAUCGCCAGGCCAGCCCCCAACGGUCCCUUUACGGCCGGGUCCCAGGGAUGGACAGAGGCAUCCAGGGCCUCCGCCGUCCUUCCGACACAGCCUGUGGGCUCCCGGACCGAGUGUCCCCCGCCAGGCUACUCCUAACUAACGCGUUGCCUUUCAUGGACCCCGCUGGGAGCUCGUAGCUUGGCAAGGCUUAUGUUUCUGCUCUGGCCUGUUCUGGGUGGUGGUGGAUAGGUGGACAGAUGGCCAGCCAUGUGUCAGUGUUCCAGCUGCCACUGUCCCUUUCAUCAAAGCCUCAACUUUUGCUUUCUGCUCUUGUGGGAAGUGACGGGGCAGACGGGAGCAGACACAGGGAUGAUGCUGCCACGGGGCCUGUGACACCCAGAGCCCCCUCCCCAGCCCUCAGGCCCUCCCUGCCAAACUGGAGAACCCUGCCCCAAGGCAUGCCACGUCCCCAACCCUGGCCUGGCUGUGGUGCUCACGCCAUGGGAAAGCACAAUGGGGAGGGGUCCGUGCUUCCUUUGGUGUCAGGGACCUGAGAAUAAGCACAACGACAGCAUCCACCUGCGUUGUGUCUGUUUUAUGUUUUUAUAUCUACAUCUAUAUAUCUAUAAUUUUAUUAAAAAAGAAAAGCUUAUUUUGAUUCUUUCCUUGGGCAAGACCAGGGCUGUUGCUGCAGGACCCCCAGAGUUAGGGGAGGGCAGAGGCCGGGCCCUGGAAGAGGGGGUGGCUGCUGUCUGGUGUGCAGGGGUAGGUGGGUUCCUCGGGGGCAUUUCUGUGGGCUUGGGCUGAGUCAGAGGCUUGGGAAGAGGGCGUGGCCGAUGGUCUAUGGCUGGGAAGUGUGAGGGUCUCUCGCCUUGUGUCUGCAUCAGUUCUGGCAGUGAUGGGGUGUUUGGGGGAAAGACUUAGGUCUGCCACUACCCACAGGGGAAUCCCAGGAACCCAAGAGCUUGGCGAAAUGAAGUGUGGGUGCAUAGGGGCCACCUGCUGGCUCAGGGCCAUGUGGGGGCUGCUGAACCUGCUGGAACUCUCCUGCCUGACAAACGCCAGGGGCAGGGCUGAGGGAGUGUGAGGGAUGCGCAGCUGUUCAGGGCUGAGACAGCCUGGGCUGGGGCUGUCCCAGUGCGGGAGGGGUGCGGGCUGUAGGGCCCCGAAGCUGGUGCUGUGCUGACCACCUUUCUGCUUCUCUCUCACGGACGCCGCGGCCCACAGGGAGCGGAUUGGCACCUGUACCCGUGGAUGGGGGCAACGUGACCAGCCUUGGGUGCCUCCUGGGCUGCACCUAUGCCACCUUGGCCGCCUGGAGGACCGCCCACCACUGCGGGCCCCCUGGAGCCCGACCACCUGGGGCACCCCCCAUGUGGGGCCAUGUGCCGCCUGCACUUGGCUACCUAGUCUUUUCCCCAGCCUCUCCGGGCCCUAGCAGGAUGACAAGUAGGCAGCUCUGGGGCCUGGGACAGCCCAGCUGGGGACCCAGGAGGUCAGACUGCCAUGGACCCUCGGGCAGGGCUGGAGGUGAGCUGGGCUUUCUUCUCCACCAGCCACAGCUUGACAGACUCCCAGCCUGCCAGGGCCCGAGACCCUGUGUCCACGUGACCUCAGUGAGUCCCCCACCUGCUGCAGGGGGUCCAGCACCCCACAGGGGGCAGCACCAGAGCUGUGGGGACCAGCACAAACUUUGCUGAGCCUCCCUGUCCAACCAAGCUCUUUAGACCAAGCCACUUCCUCCUCGGGGAGCCCAGGCCUCUGUGGGUUGGGCUGGGUGGGGGGUCUCAGGUUGCCCCCGAAGGUCUCUGCACUCCUGCCCUUCGCCUGACACAUGAACAGAUGCCUUAAUUUCCUGGAGCCGCCAGCGUGGUGAGCCACUGGCCCCUGCCUGCCACCAGGGUCCUGUGGUCAUGGCCAGCUCUGUCUGGGCCCCACUGGGGCUGCCUGCACCCAGAGACGAUGCUGCUGGGAGCUCAGAGGGCCCGAGGCCCAAGCCCUGUGUCCUCCAGCAGAGGUACGGCCUGUGGCAGGGUGGCACUCUGGCCAGCCCUUCUCCGGCACAGGGUCCCUGUCCCUGGUUUACCCUGGGCUGCUGCUCUAUUUCUCCCAUUUUGGGAUGAGAAAGCCACAAAACUCUCCUGCAUUGUUCUUAAGGGCACCCCUGCUAAUUAAUUCCCCAAAUAAAAUUUUUGGUGUUGAUCUCCACAACUCUGUCUACCAAUGUGGCGCCCUGGGUUGGGGAGGUGACAG
ensembl:lincRNA